rnacentral:rRNA from 1 species
UUAAGCCAUGCAUGUCUAAGUAUAAGCAAUCUAUACCGUGAAACUGCGAAUGGCUCAUUAAAUCAGUUAUCGUUUAUUUGAUAGUACCUUACUACUUGGAUAACCGUGGUAAUUCUAGAGCUAAUACAUGCUAAAAACCCCGACUUCGGAAGGGGUGUAUUUAUUAGAUAAAAAACCAAUGCCCUUCGGGUCCUUGGUGAUUCAUAAUAACUUAACGAAUCGCAUGGCCUUGUGCCGGCGAUGGUUCAUUCAAAUUUCUGCCCUAUCAACUUUCGAUUGUAAGGUAUUGGCUUACAAUGGUUUCAACGGGUAACGGGGAAUUAGGGUUCUAUUCCGGAGAAGGAGCCUGAGAAACGGCUACUACAUCCAAGGAAGGCAGCAGGCGCGCAAAUUACCCAAUCCGACACGGGGAGGUAGUGACAAUAAAUACUGAUACAGGGCUCUUUUGGGUCUUGUAAUUGGAAUGAGUGACAAUUUAAAUCCCUUAACGAGGAACAAUUGGNNNNNNNNNNNNNNNNNNNNNNNNNNNNNAAUUCCAGCGCCAAUAGCGUAUAUUAAAGUUGUUGCAGUUAAAAAGCUCGUAGUUGAACCUUGGGCCUGGCUGGCGGUCCGCCUCACCGCGUGCACUGGUCCGGCCGGGUCUUUCCUUCUGGGGAGCCGCAUGCCCUUCACUGGGUGUGUCGGGGAACCAGGACUUUUACUUUGAAAAAAUUAGAGUGUUCAAAGCAGGCCUAUGCUCGAAUACAUUAGCAUGGAAUAAUAGAAUAGGACGUGUGGUUCAUUUUGUUGGUUUCUAGGAGUGUAGUAUGAAUCAGGGCAGCCUGAGAAAUGGACAAUCCGCAGCCAAGCCCUACCCUGCUCGCAGCCACGGGUGCAGUUCACAGACUAGACGUCGGUGGGUUCGCAGAACUUAAGAUAUAGUCGGUCAGCCCCUGAAAGGAGGCCUGAAGCAUGCAGAUACCGUCGUAGUCUUAACCAUAAACUAUGCCGACUAGGGAUCGGGCGAUGUUAUCUUUUUGACUCGCUCGGCACCUUACGAGAAAUCAAAGUCUUUGGGUUCUGGGGGAGUAUGGUGAAGG